UUAACAAAUAGCUUAUAUUAAGCAUAGCACUGAAGAUGCUAAGAAGGUAUUACCUUUGUUAAU
rnacentral:tRNA from 1 species